GAGGGUGUAGCUCAGUGGUAGAGUGCAUGCCUAGCCUGCACGAGAUCCUGGAUUCACUCUCCAGCACCUCCA
rnacentral:tRNA from 1 species